CAAGAACUGUGGUGGGAGGAGGAAGGUGGGCCCAAGAAAGGUAUAUCAUGGUCUUAGGACCCUGGGAAUAGCAUCCAGAGAUAGUACCUAUUGAGGAAUAUAAAGUGCUACACAGAAAUGAUGGUCUCCCAUCAUUAUUAGUCAGUUUGGAUGAAGCCCUACUCAUCCUAUGCAAGAUAUGGAACCAGACACAGAAGCAACCCAUGAAACUGCCUACUAAAGUGUGGAAGAUUUGCUAUGUACACCAGUGGAAGGAUUUUCCAGCCUAAGGAAAUCAUGAUCAUUUUGAUGAGUGUUUGAAGAGGAGGAGAAAGACUAGGGAGAGGAGAAAGGAGAUGGUCUGAGAGCGAAGGUCUAAAUGAGAGUGGUGGGAUCCUGAAGACUGAAGUCCUGCCAAAGUCAUCAAAAUUCUCAUGGCCCUCUGAUUCGCCAAACCUGCUACCCCGACAACAACAUGAAGGCAUUAGGAAUACAAGUAAUACCUUGAAAAUUCUUGUCAAGUCCUUCCUUUUUAUGAAAGGAAGUAAGGAAUUAAAGACCAAUGACCAGGGUCCCUAGGCUGAGGCAAGUCAGAAAUGGAGGUCUAAUAGCAGAAGAAGGAUCUGGCAUGCCAAGGCCAAAGGAGCAGACAGAAAACCAAGAAGCAAGGAGAGUCAAAAGAAGGCCAGCAGAGCAGCCAAACUUAGGCAGAGGAAGAACUGGGACAGGAAGGAAAUCAGGAGACAGACAGGCACAAAUUGAGGUCACCAAGAAGACAGGCUGAUGCUACCAGGCAAGGACUCCCUUGUGGUUUCCUUUAUCAAAACUUUUGACAAAACAUCUAUCCCUCCCUCUGCACUUUUAAAAUCACAUUUUCCUUAUUUUACUAAGGAUACUUUUUAUUGUUACAUCACAUUAAUUAUAUAAUUAAAUUCUGAACCUCCACCUACCACAAAUCUUGCAAAGAAGAUUUUAAAAGAAAGUGAUAAGAAGGUAACCUGAUUUGUUCAUGCAAAGGCCUCCAAUUUUACAUGUAAUUUCAACUUGUAUUUAUAAUAUAUUUAUUACAUCUACAAUAUAUGUUUAUUACCUUUGCUUUAUUAAA